UACGAAGGGGGCUAGCGUUGCUCGGAAUCACUGGGCGUAAAGGGUGCGUAGGCGGGUUUUUAAGUCAGGGGUGAAAUCCUGGAGCUCAACUCCAGAACUGCCUUUGAUACUGAAGAUCUUGAGUUCGGGAGAGGUGAGUGGAACUGCGAGUGUAGAGGUGAAAUUCGUAGAUAUUCGGAGGAACACCAGUGGCGAAGGCAAUGUUCUGGCUCGUUUCUGACGCUCAGGUGCGAAAGCCAGGGGAGCGAACGGG
rnacentral:rRNA from 1 species